CACAGAUGAUGAACUUAUUGACGGGCGGACAGAGACUAUGUGCUGAUUGUCAUGUUCUGAUUUG
ensembl:snoRNA SNORD43 small nucleolar RNA, C/D box 43